rnacentral:rRNA from 1 species
AGUGAACGCUGGCGGUAGGCCUAACACAUGCAAGUCGAACGGCAGCACAGUAAGCGCUUGCUCUUACGGGUGGCGAGUGGCGGACGGGUGAGGAAUACAUCGGAAUCUACUUUUUCGUGGGGGAUAACGUAGGGAAACUUACGCUACUACCGCAUACGACCUACGGGUGAAAGCAGGGGAUCUUCGGACCUUGCGCGAUUGAAUGAGCCGAUGUCGGAUUAGCUAGUUGGCGGGGUAAAGGCCCACCAAGGCAACGAUCCGUAGCUGGUCUGAGAGGAUGAUCAGCCACACUGGAACUGAGACACGGUCCAGACUCCUACGGGAGGCAGCAGUGGGGAAUAUUGGACAAUGGGCGCAAGCCUGAUCCAGCCAUACCGCGUGGGUGAAGAAGGCCUUCGGGUUGUAAAGCCCUUUUGUUGGGAAAGAAAAGCAGCAGGUUAAUACCCCGCUGUUCUGACGGUACCCAAAGAAUAAGCACCGGCUAACUUCGUG